rnacentral:rRNA from 1 species
CUCAGUAACACGUGGAUAACCUGCCCUUAGGACUGGCAUAACCCCGGGAAACUGGGGAUAAUUCCGGAUAGCUCAUGGUAGCUGGAAUGCUCCAUGAUCGAAAGCUAUUGCGCCUAAGGAUGGGUCUGCGGUCUAUCAGGUAGUAGUGGGUGUAAUGUACCUACUAGCCGACGACGGAUACGGGUUGUGGGAGCAAGAGCCCGGAGAUGGAUUCUGAGACAUGAAUCCAGGCCCUACGGGGCGCAGCAGGCGCGAAAACUUUACAAUGCGGGAAACCGCGAUAAGGGGACACCGAGUGCCAGCAUCUUAUGUUGGCUGUCCGCAUGUAUAAAUCACAUGUGUUAGCAAGGGCCGGGCAAGACCGGUGCCAGCCGCCGCGGUAACACCGGCGGCCCGAGUGGUGGCCACUAUUAUUGGGUCUAAAGGGUCCGUAGCCGGUUUGGUCAGUCUUCCGGGAAAUCUGACGGCUUAACCGUUAGGCUUUCGGGGGAUACUACC